rnacentral:pre_miRNA from 1 species
UUCAUCUGAGGAUCUUGUUAAAAGGCAGAUUCUGAUUCAGUAGGUCUGGGACGUGGCCUGAGAUUCUGUAUUUCUAACAAGCUCCCAAGGUGUUGCUGC